rnacentral:lncRNA from 1 species
ACAGUUCUCAGUUGACUUUGGGUUUCAAUUGGAUUUGGGGUUCUGAGUUUAAACCGAAGCUUCGACCUUGUGUUCAGAGAUGCACGGCCAGCCAGUUGUGUCUGCAUCAUUUGCAUCAUAGCAUGUUUAUUUUCAAAAAAAUACGCAAUAUAAAAAAAAAAAAAGAAAAAAGAAAGAAAAAAGAAAGAAAAAAAAAAGAGAAAAAAACUAAUCUCUGCAUGCAUAUCAUUUCUCAGG